GCCAGGCAUGGGUGGUGUGUGCCUGUAGUCCUAGCUACUCAGGAGGCUGAGGCAGGAGAAUCACUUGAGCAUGGGAGGUUUAGGCUGCAGUGAGCCACGAUCGUGCCACUGCGCUCCAGCCUGGGCCACAGAGUGAAACCCUGUCUCAC
rnacentral:SRP_RNA from 1 species